rnacentral:rRNA from 1 species
GACGAACGCUGGCGGCGUGCCUAAUACAUGCAAGUCGAACGAACCGCGACUGAGUGCUUGCACUUGGUCAAGGUGAGUGGCGAACGGGUGAGUAACACGUGGGUAACCUACCUCAUAGUGGGGGAUAACAGUCGGAAACGACUGCUAAUACCCCAUAGGACAUAGGAUCACAUGAUCCAGUGAGGAAAGGUGGCGCAAGCUAUCGCUAAGAGAUGGACCCGCGGUGCAUUAGCUAGUUGGUAGGGUAAAGGCCUACCAAGGCGAUGAUGCAUAGCCGACCUGAGAGGGUGAUCGGCCACAUUGGGACUGAGACACGGCCCAAACUCCUACGGGAGGCAGCAGUAGGGAAUCUUCCGCAAUGGACGCAAGUAUGACGGAGCAACGCCGCGUGAGUGAAGAAGGUCUUCGGAUCGUAAAGCUCUGUUGUUAGAGAAGAACAGCGCAUAGAGUAACUGCUAUGCGUGUGACGGUAUCUAACCAGAAAGCCACGGCUAACUACGUG